rnacentral:lncRNA from 1 species
CCUUCUCCUAUAUUCACUAAGACUGUCAGCUUUCUUACUCAGCACACACACAACUUACCAGGCAGUGCUGUCACAGCUGCUCUUGUUCAUAUAGUCUAACAUUCUUACCUGUGCUGUACACAUAGGGAAUUUUAUUGGGAGCAGGGUUUUCAAGAGAAUAUAAUUUUAUAUUAGUGUAAGAAUAUUAUACUAGGCAAAUGUUUAGUUUAGUUGCCUGAAUUAUGCUUAAGGUAUCUGUAAUUGAAUAAUGGCAAGUUAACCAGAAGGCUACUGAAACAUAAAAUUAACUGGAAAUAACCCCUUAAAUUUAUAUUUUUGAUGACUUUAGCCUGAACAUUUUAUUUUAGAAUGUCGAAAAUGCAUGCUGCUUAAGAUUUGUCUAGUUCAAAACUGAAACCUUGCUGGGUCAUUUUUACACACGGGAACAUCCUGGUAGUUAUGUAUUGCCUAAUGGAUGGUUUUUGUUUAUUUUGAAUUCUGGACGCUUUUUGGAUGAGGACUAGUUAAACUUGUCAACUAGGACAAGGCUGGAUGGAGCAGAGCUGGCUUGAGGAUUGGGGUUGCAGCAAACAGGAAACAAACACUAAGCACAGAGGAAAGGAGCAUCAUGUAGGACCUACCAUGGUAUUAGUGGAGAGGGUGUAUUUAACUAAAACAUAAAAAGGGGUCUAUAAGGUCAGUUCUUCAUGUGGCUUGUCAAUCAUUUUGUAAGUAACAGAUUUUAACACGACUUGCUUUCAGAGUGUCAGAAAUGUUUAUAGUAAUAAUUUAUAUAAAAAAGUACUCAUGGAUACAUUUUUUGUAUUGUUUAAAUUGCAGUGAUAACCACAUAUUGCAGUGAGAAGGUUUGUUGUCCUGACUGCUUCUAAACAUGCAGUUCAGAAGGGUCACUUCCACUCAACUCGUUGGGAAACAAGGGUAGAACUUUAUCCUACACCCAUCAAAUGCUCUCUUCUUCCUUCCCAGUGUGCAAUAGGGUUCUGACUACUUAUAACACAAACACUCAGAUUACUGAGUAGAGUCAUUUGUGUUUGCAAGAUCCAAACCUAAGUAAACAGCAGGUUCCCGAGAAUUGAGGAAGGGCAUCUUUCCCCUGUUAUAACUGUUAUUUUUUUACAUGUAUGCUAAUUGAACGUGUUUAUUAUUUUGUUUUGAGCCAGAGGGGGAAAAUACAUUUUAAAUAUGAGAAAUAAGUUAGCUUUGGUUUUGUACUGUAUUGGGAAGGUAAUAGAUUUUCACAAGUAAUUUGUGCCUUGUUAUAGAUGUCAGUUGUCAUUGAGUCUACCUGUCAAAGUCACAGAAUACAUUUUUCUUUCAAAAUGGCAACCUAAUUUAGCUUGCUUGAAUAUUACAAUAGGAAUGCUUACUGAUACUACUUGAUAAUCAUGUAUAUCCUUUUGACUUACACACACACACACACACACACACACACACACACACACACAUUCAAUAGCAGUAUUGAUAGUUACAGUUGUAUGUCUUUAAACACUAAACAUGAGGAAGCUUUUUAAUGUUGUCUUGUGGGUGUGUGUUGCAUUACUGCAGUGAGGGAGAAAGAAAUCCUUCGCACCGAGCUUCAGUGGCUGAUAAGUGGCUAGCAGUGGGUAAAAUUACAGUGUAAAAAUAGGAGUGGCUAGUUAAUAAAGUUAAGUUGCUACCUUGGCAUUUUCUACCUCCUUUUCUACCAGAAUACUGCUUUUCUUUCCCCCGUCUAGCAUCUUGUCUUAUUUGUGGGAGAAAAGGAAACAACCUGAAGUUAAAGUUAGAUUUUCUUUUUCUGAGAAUUUAAGCAAUAGGUACAGGAAAAGUGACCUGUCACAUUAAUUUGGUGCCUAAAUGUAAAGGUUUGAAUUGAUAUCUACAACUGUCUAAGAAGGAGAGUAGUGCUGAGUAUUUGGACUGUCCUGUAUAGUUCUCUUGAUUUUAUUUUAGAAACAUGACUUCUUUCUUUCAAAAGCAAAGUGGUUUUCUAAUUGUUUUAUGAAAUAUGCCAUUUUGUCUGAGUAUAGUUUCAGGAAGCUAUUGAAAGUUCUGACUCAGGGCUUUUUAACAGUUAAAGCAAUUGUUACUAUAUUUUGGAAAUUCCAUCUGCAUAAUUCUUCAGUGCCUUGAUUAACUUGGCAACACUUAAAAACUUUGUAUUAGGCAACCUUCAGUGCACCAGCCAUGACACGCAUGUUCCAAGUCAUACUGCUAAGCAUGUGCAGGAGCCACCUGCCUGUGCUGGGUUUGCAGAAUUCUUUAAGGGAAGUAUUCUACAUUUGCACUUGAUACUUGUUUUUUUUUUGUUUUUUUUAUUCUGUUUUUUACAAACUGAUUAUUCAAGGCCAUGGCACUGUUACCAGAAAAAUGGUGUUUGCUUUCUAUAUGCAUGUCACCUUAAACAGCUGUUGAAGAGAAGACAGAGCUCACACACUUUGUAUCUAGUAGGAAAAGAAGAUCAAUUCAGAAAACAGAUCAUCUUCCUCAAGUGGAAACCAAACCAAACCCUUUGUUUAAGUGGUUCAGUUAAAUAAUUAAUUGAAAGGAAAUCAUGAAUUGCAUGUCACUCUUAAUGCUGAUCUGUAGACUAAAUGCAUGUUUUUCUGUCUCCUUCAGUAUGUGUCUGCCAUUCUAAGUACAGUAUUUUCAAAUGGUAGAAAAAAGGCUGACUCAAAUGUUUUGCUUUGUAAUUUUUCCAGUUCUUUUUUAGCUUUCAAUGUUGGAAUAAAUUUAAGUCUUGUUUAUGGAUAAAGUUUCUGUAUGGAAAAAUAAUUCUUGCUUAUUAGCUUUUGUUUAAGAAAAAAGCUUAGUAAAAACUAAGCUUUUAAAAAUAAAUGCAAACAUUUACCAUUAAUAAAAUCUGUGGUGUAAUAUGUUUUUCACUGACUUUUUGGAAUCUAGUCUUUAUAAUAAUAUAAAUGAAUUUUUAUUUUUAAGGCAUUUGAAAGCAAAUCUCAGUACAUCAAAAAAUUCUGUUAUUGGAAAGAAAAUUACCAUAUCUUUGAGAAACAAGGACAUCUCUCCAACUCACUGUAAGAAGUAAGCAUCCCCAUCUAGAAGGCUCUCCUUGUGAGUGCUCACAUGUCAGGAGCCUGUCCAAAGGUCAAAGAAGCUUGCAUGUUUUAGCACCUACACUUACAGGAUUAAGGUGUAUUUGGAAAGUAACCCGAAUAGAACAGACUUGAUCAGAGAAAGCCAGACAGGAAGGACUCAGCUUUUCUCUCUAUAUAGAUAACAUAUUUCUAAAAAGCUUAUUUCUCUUCAGAAGACAAAUAUAUUUGUGUCUGCGUGUGUAUAUAUAACAUUUUUAAAAAGUAGAUAUUUUCCAGCAAUGAUGUAUCUCUCCUUUUCAGUGUUUUGUGACUACUCAGUCAUUGAAUAGUUUGGGGGUAUUUUAUUUUUAAAGUUGUGAGAUGUACUUGUUUGUAAAGGUUUGAGAGGUUUUUCUAAUUCUAGUUUAAAAGAUAUGUCAAAUGUCUAAAAGAAAAUCAAUUGAAAACUAAAUCUUUUGUUUAAUUAAUAAAAGCACAUGUGUUCCAUCUUUUAACCUGAAUUUAUUUUGGAUAACCUCUAAUUAAUUGUAUUUUGUGUUUAUUUCUAUUACUGUAUAAGUAGAUAUCUCAUGGUCCAUAUUUUUUACUAAAUUGAAACUGCAGGUUUAAUAAUAAAAGACAUUUUAGAAAAUAUGCUUUAUAUUUUUAUCAUUGACAGUUACCCUUCACAUAGAUUAGAUUUCACUAAUAUGUUAUGGCACAGCAUAUCUCAAACCUUUGGUAAUGCUUUUUAGAGCAAGAGGAGAUGUUCAGAAGCUGCAGGGACGCAUGAAAGAAGUGGAAUGCCAAAGUAAUUGCUGUAGCCUGAGCCUCGGCUGAUAGUUUCCCCAUUUACAACCAAAAUGAUAGUUGAUGAGCUCACUUUUCUUUCGUGAGAACUAAUAAUAAUGAUAACUGGAGUGAGUGAGUGCAAUCCAGACCCGCAAACUAAGACUAAUGAUGAAGCAGGUGAGUUCAAGCCCACCGAACCACAUGAGGCCUAGUUUAAAAAGGAAAACACAGUAUGACCAACAGUUCUAUCCCUGAGUCUUUUAUGUUUAUCUUAUUUAUUUAUUUUACCACCUAAAUGAUUUAAUUCCCUGAAAGGUGUUCCCGUCAAAGAAAACUGGGGACUCUGGAUAGCUAUCAAAAACACUGCCUUUAAAAUAAUUAGCCUUUAAAAACAAAGCAAUGUGAAAAGAUGAUUUCAUGCUGAAUUUCAUGGGAUGUUUAUAGAAGAAAUUAUGCCAGU